rnacentral:rRNA from 1 species
UCCCUACGGGGGCAGCAGUGGGGAAUAUUGGGCAAUGGAGGAAACUCUUACCCAGCAAUGCCGCGUGAAUGAAGAAGGUCUUCGGAUUGUAAAGUUCUUUAAUUGGGGACGAAAAAAAUGACGGUACCCAAGGAAUAAGCCCCGGCUAACUACGUGCCAGCAGCCGCGGUAAUACGUAGGGGGCAAGCGUUGUUCGGAAUUACUGGGUGUAAAGGGAGCGCAGGCGGCACGGCAAGCCUGAUGUGAAAGCCCGCGGCCCAACCGCGGGACUGCAUUGGGAACUACCGGGCUGGAGUGCCGGAGAG